GGAGCAAACUAAGGAGUGGCUCAUUGCUCACCAAGCCAUAAGCCUGUUGUUAAUUUAGAUUAGGUCUUAUCACCUGGAGUCAGUGCUCCCUGGGUAUGAAGUUGGCUUUAACCAGCCCUGCCCAAGGAGGGAGCUCUGGGAGGAAUUACACUGAACAGAAGAAUGGGCUGCUGUGUUAUGCUUUCAUUACCUUUGGAUUAAAAGCACUGGGAGUGAAGUCAAAUUGAGGAAGAACCUCCUUGGGUGGGCAGAACAAAGUCACAGAGCCCAUGGGAAGGCAGUGCCGCAUGAUGAGGAGCUGUGCCAGGGCUGGAGAAAGCCUGAGUCCUGCUGCAUCCCGAAGGAAGCAGAGAUGAUGGGCUUGUGUGGCUUCAAGCAUAAGGUAAAAAGGAAGAUUUUGCACAAAGCAGGAUUAAGCCGUGAAGACAGAAUUUCAGAAGAGCAGUGCAGCCCCCAUUUCAUUUCCUAUGGCGCAGAGAGCACGCAGCAUUCAGGAUGGUCACAUCUAGUAGAACAUACCCGUGAUGUUACCACAGCGUUGCUCCAUCAGCAGGCAGCGGCACACAGCAGGGACGGAGCCAGGCAUGCAGCAUGGCCAGCACACAGCCCUGCCGAGAGCCCACCAUGCACUCCUCUGCCUUGCGUCACCACUUCAGCCCAAGCUCCUGAGCCAACGUCUCUGCCCCACAUUCAGCUCCAAGCAUUCUGAAGGUGAGUCUGUGCCACCUUGCCCAGUGUGAUGCACUGAUUGAUGCUCUGUUGCAGUCAUUACAUGUCCUGGUGGUUUGCAGGAUAAUGCUGUGCAACUUAACGAUAUCACAGUUGCACAAAUCAAGUGGAAGAAGCCAAGGUCUAGAAUCUCCAGCAUUCAAUUCUUCUAAUGGCCUUGGGCUCAUCUGCAGCAGGCAGGGUCACAGGGCAUGGUUUAUAGAAAAAUUUCAUACCUGAACACCCCAAAAGCUGUUGCAGUGGCCUGGGGUGCUUGGCCUUUCAGGGCCCUCAGUGAUACUUACACAGAAUGUAUGGGCAGAAGACUGAGUGCCAACAUGUGCUCUUGGAUCUCAGUUAGUAAAGUGUGACUCUGCAAGUUGUUUCAAUAAAUCAACUCUUUGAAAUUUAAUGAGGGAACUG
rnacentral:lncRNA from 1 species